UCUCCGUAGUCUUGGGCUGUGAGCUCCAUGCGUUUCCUUUGAAGCUCUGGCAUCGAAUCAAGGUAUAUAUUUCUCUGGCCUGGACGUCUCCCAAACAGAGAGAAAUUCACGGAUCCCCAGGCACCGACCGAUCUUAUAACGAAAAGUAAGAAACGGAAGUACCCACAAUUCUAGUGUGCAUUUCGCCCCUUCUCGGAAUAUUCUAGAAAGAAAAUAGAGACAUUUUGUUAAACAAAUGAUUGGAGAAUAUUAUGAAAUUAUUUUAUACGAUAUUACAAUGUACAUAUAUGUGUAAUGUUAUGGCUGUAAGUCACCUGUCAAUACAGCAUACGCUACUACGCGUACGCUCGCAAUAUCUUAUUGAUACUCUACAUACUUUGUUUUAUAUUUGACACAGCGACCAAAGAUAAUUACCUGAAGACGAUAAAUCAGAUUUCCUUUAUACACAUAGAAAAUUACAUUUUAGCCUUGUCUAGCCCUUCCUUUUCUUCGUUGGUGUGAUAUCACGGGAAGACGGGACAACGGAAGUCGUGUUAAUAUGUAUUACAUUAUAUCGUAGAUAGGAUAAUGUGGUUGGCGUAACGCUUGUAAACCAACACUAUUUCGUUAUCGUUUCAUCAGCAAUCUCAACGUUCGUCUCACCUCCCGUUCAUUUUCAGAUAUUUCACGGAAGUAAUAACACACUCGAGUGAAAUUUUAUUCCCAUUCCGUUGAUGUAACUCGUUCAACUUGCCGAUAAACGAACGCUUCAAACAAGUUACUUUGAAAACGUUCAUUUACCAGCGAAUUAACAGAAGUUUGAGGCGAUAAGAACUCGAAACAUCAAACCUGCUGAAAUAAGUUCUAUCAAACUUUCCAACUACUGCAGAACUUGGCAUGUUGCAACUGUGAAUUGCAGGCGAAUUAAUAUAGCAAACGGUUGGUCGUUUCAACUGCAAUCGACCCGAGAAGAAAGAACUUGGUAUACAAACUUUUCGUCUAGAAAGAAUAAUUUCCCGGAUUCUUGAAAGAUCGGAAGCAAUCUAGGAGUAGCUGACGGCGCGAUAGAGAAAAUUUGUUCAAGAAAGAAUUGUAAUAUUUGUCGAUUAAGUCGAGUUCGUCCAGAAGCUUCUGACUUAGAGGCUAUUUCCUUUCUUCGUACGUCACAGCAUGGCUUCAAAGCUGAAGCGUAAAGACCGCGUUCUUUACUUUGAAAACAGACUAGCUUUACACAGGCGGAAGGACUAAGUUUUAAUUAAAGGUCGCGGUCGUUUUUCAGAGAGGCAACGUUUUCACGCUCACGCGUUUUUUAAGGAGAUUUUAAUUUGUUGCACAACUUUCAGAUCGUGAUGCGCAUCUCCUUCAAAGAUCUUUUUCAGAAUCUUCAUAAUUAAAAUAAAGUAACGGCGAUGACUGGGUAUAUUCCACAAAAGUUCUUCUUUAUUCUCUUUAUCAAACGAGUUGUAAAACGAGCUGGACCAAAUGUAUCCAUUUUCCAAACAAAUUUUUCUUCCUUCCUGUCGAUUGAAUUACAGUGGGCCGUCGCGUCGGUAUAUGUCUAUUUGCGAUGAAAACGCAAAUGCACAGCGGCGCGGGAAGCGAAGAAAAAUAGAGAUGGGAUCUCCAAUCGGGCUACGUAAUUUUCUCAAUUUAAAUCUAAUCUAGCCUGGCACGCAGACGCAUCUACAUAUAUUUUCGGAGCAAAGUAGCGAACGGAAGUGAGACAGGGGCACAAAUGGGAAGGCUAGUAGACCUUUCACAGAGCUCGAAUAUUUUUUCCUUUAUUCAGGCCAUUCACCGUGCUGGCAAUUACGUGCCAUUUACGUGGCAACCAGGCUGUCGCAUCUAACGCGGCUUUUCCGCCUACACGCGCCCGCGCGUGAAUUCGAUCCGAUCGCAGCUAGCCCCGAUCGACUAACCCGAAAUACCGGAAUCGAUUAUGCUGGUUUACAGGAUGCCUCGUCAAUCAACGUGUGAGCCCCCCAAUUUUUCAAUCACCUUUUUUCACCGAAGACAACAGCGACACGUGAACCAACGUACGAUGCUUCCCGUUAAACCGAAGCGUCAAUAGGAAGCUCGUGUCACGGUGCGCCGAGAUAUAAGACAACGAGAUCGCGUUUGCCGAACAUACGUUAUUCUAUUGUUAAUAUACAUACUAGGAAAUUUCAUAAAAUAUGAUUAGCUUGGUAUUGUCUCCGUAAGUUAUAAUUUAAUUAAAUAAUUGUAAUUUAUAAUUUAAUUAAACCACCGAUUCCGUAAGUAAUGCUGCUUUUCUGAGAGUUAAGCUUAAAAGAAUGAGAGUUGUUGCCAUCGGAGUUUAAAAAAAUUAAAAUAGGAAAGUUAAUAGAAACAGACAGUGGAUUAUUAAAAGAUACGAGAAAAUUUAUCGCUGAUUGAUUGCGAAGAAGUAAUCUUUUAGUUUUAUCUAGCAUAAAAUGGCUUGAUAUGUUUAAAAAGUUAUUUUCAACAAGAUGGUAUAUAAAGAAGAGAACAAUUCAGUUGUAUUAUCGAGAUACACACUGGCUCGAAAUACAUACUGUUAUGUCUAAGUACUUUACUUAUCCCGUUAGGAGAUUACAUUUCCGUUCCGGCUGAGAUUACUUAUUCGUUUUAUAGCGAUAAGAGUAAGUCGGUAUAUAUGUAUAAAGCAGAGAAGAUACGUAUAUACGAUUCCAAGGGAAUCCAUAAAAGUAACAACAUACAAAACUUUUCCUAUAUCCGGUGGAGCAUAAGCGUACAACGUUGUAAUAGUAAUCUCAAAAUAAAUGUAGACGUUGUACCGAUAUAUCAGUAAUGCGAUGUUGCGGAAUCGAUAGUAUCAGCCGAAAGAUAAUUUCAGAAAUACAAUUAUUAUCGAUGCAAAGA
rnacentral:lncRNA from 1 species